rnacentral:rRNA from 5 species
AAAUUGAAGAGUUUGAUCAUGGCUCAGAUUGAACGCUGGCGGCAGGCCUAACACAUGCAAGUCGAACGGUAACAGGAAGCAGCUUGCUGCUUUGCUGACGAGUGGCGGACGGGUGAGUAAUGUCUGGGAAACUGCCUGAUGGAGGGGGAUAACUACUGGAAACGGUGGCUAAUACCGCAUAACGUCGCAAGACCAAAGAGGGGGACCUUCGGGCCUCUUGCCAUCAGAUGUGCCCAGAUGGGAUUAGCUUGUUG